UACGUAGGCAGCGAGCGUUUGUUCGGAAUUACUGGGCGUAAAGAGUGUGUAGGCGGUGCUCUAAGUUCGGUGUGAAAUCUCCUGCUCACUGGAGGGUGCGCCGGAACUGGAGUGCUUGAGCGUGGGAGAGGAAAGCGGAAUUCCUGGUGUAGCGGUGAAAUGCGUAGAUAUCAGGAGGAACACCUGUGGUGUAGACGGCUUUCUGGACCAUUGUUGACGCUGAGACACGAAAGCGUGGGUAGCAAACAGG
rnacentral:rRNA from 1 species